UGGCUCAGGACGAACGCCGGUGGCGUGCCUAAUACAUGCAAGUUGAGCGCUGAAGGUUGGUACUUGUACCGACUGGUUUAGCAGCGAACGGGUGAGUAAUGCGUGGGGAAUCUGCCUUCGAGCGGGGGACAACAUUUGGAAACGAAUGCUAAUACCGCAUAAAAACUUUAAACACAAGUUUUAAGUUUGAAAGAUGCAAUUGCAUCACUCAAAGAUGAUCCCGCGUUGUAUUAGCUAGUUGGUGAGGUAAAGGCUCACCAAGGCGGUGAUACAUAGCCGACCUGAGAGGGUGAUCGGCCACAUUGGGACUGAGACACGGCCCAAACUCCUACGGGAGGCAGCAGUAGGGAAUCUUCGGCAAUGGACGAAAGUCUGACCGAGCAACGCCGCGUGAGUGAAGAAGGUUUUCGGAUCGUAAAACUCUGUUGGUAGAGAAGAACGUUGAUGAGAGUGGAAAGC
rnacentral:rRNA from 1 species